CCUUUGACGUUAGCGGCGGACGGGUGAGUAACACGUGGGUAACCUACCUAUAAGACUGGGAUAACUUCGGGAAACCGGAGCUAAUACCGGAUAAUAUUUCGAACCGCAUGGUUCGAUAGUGAAAGAUGGUUUUGCUAUCACUUAUAGAUGGACCCGCGCCGUAUUAGCUAGUUGGUAAGGUAACGGCUUACCAAGGCGACGAUACGUAGCCGACCUUAGAGGGUGAUCGGCCACACUGGAACUGAGACACGGUCCAGACUCCUACGGGAGGCAGCAGCG
rnacentral:rRNA from 1 species